GGUGCCUUAGCCAAGUGGCAAGGCCAGGAGCUGCAACCUCCUUAUCGUCAGUUCGAAUCUGACAGGCACCUCCA
rnacentral:tRNA from 1 species